rnacentral:rRNA from 1 species
AACGAACGCUGGCGGCAUGCCUAACACAUGCAAGUCGAACGAGACCUUCGGGUCUAGUGGCGCACGGGUGCGUAACGCGUGGGAAUCUGCCCUUGGGUUCGGAAUAACAGUUGGAAACGACUGCUAAUACCGGAUGAUGACGUAAGUCCAAAGAUUUAUCGCCCAAGGAUGAGCCCGCGUAGGAUUAGCUAGUUGGUGAGGUAAAGGCUCACCAAGGCGACGAUCCUUAGCUGGUCUGAGAGGAUGAUCAGCCACACUGGGACUGAGACACGACCCAGACUCCUACGGGAGGCAGCAGUGGGGAAUAUUGGACAAUGGGCGAAAGCCUGAUCCAGCAAUGCCGCGUGAGUGAUGAAGGCCUUAGGGUUGUAAAGCUCUUUUACCCGGGAUGAUAAUGACAGUACCGGGAGAAUAAGCUCCGGCUAACUCCGU